ACGGGUGAGUAAUGCUUAGGAAUCUGCCUAUUAGUGGGGGACAACAUUUCGAAAGGAAUGCUAAUACCGCAUACGUCCUACGGGAGAAAGCAGGGGAUCUUCGGACCUUGCGCUAAUAGAUGAGCCUAAGUCGGAUUAGCUAGUUGGUGGGGUAAAGGCCUACCAAGGCGACGAUCUGUAGCGGGUCUGAGAGGAUGAUCCGCCACACUGGGACUGAGACACGGCCCAGACUCCUACGGGAGGCAGCAGUGGGGAAUAUUGGACAAUGGGCGCAAGCCUGAUCCAGCCAUGCCGCGUGUGUGAAGAAGGCCUUAUGGUUGUAAAGCACUUUAAGCGAGGAGGAGGCUACUUUAGUUAAUACCUAGAGAUAGUGGACGUUACUCGCAGAAUAAGCACCGGCUAACUCUGUGCCAGCAGCCGCGGUAAUACAGAGGGUGCAAGCGUUAAUCGGAUUUACUGGGCGUAAAGCGCGCGUAGGCGGCUAAUUAAGUCAAAUGUGAAAUCCCCGAGCUUAACUUGGGAAUUGCAUUCGAUACUGGUUAGCUAGAGUGUGGGAGAGGAUGGUAGAAUUCCAGGUGUAGCGGUGAAAUGCGUAGAGAUCUGGAGGAAUACCGAUGGCGAAGGCAGCCAUCUGGCCUAACACUGACGCUGAGGUGCGAAAGCAUGGGGAGCAAACAGGAUUAGAUACCUGGUAGUCCAUGCCGUAAACGAUGUCUACUA
rnacentral:rRNA from 1 species